UGAUUUGACGAGGGUGUUCUG
rnacentral:piRNA from 1 species